rnacentral:lncRNA from 1 species
UGUGCAACAGAUUGAAGAAAGAUUGCAAGAGCAGUCGGGAGGAAAAGGUGACCCUGAGCAAGGAGAGACGGCACAGCAGACACAUGAUGGCAAGCUCUUCCGGCUUGAAGGAAGCGUUUGGAAAUACAAGUACCCCUUGGGCAAGCCAAGCUAGUCUACACAGAACCUGUGAAUGAGAGGUACUAACGGGUCCAGCACAAGUGCUGAAGAAUGACCGAGAAGUAGCAGCAGCAUCGUGUAUGUGGAAACAGCAGCACUUGAUGCCACAAAAAUGCUUUCUUGAGGCGAAGCACCCAAAUCCCUGCACAGAGCAGCAGUGCUGUCCCUUUGCAAGAAUCAAGCUUGGCUACCAGCUUGUGGAGGAUGCUGCUGUUGUGUUUUUGGAGUCGUUCCGGCAGCCUGUGUGACGAGUAGAGAUGAUGUUAGCCAUUCCUUUGUGUAAAAAAAAAAAAAAAAAAUGCCGCCGUCAUUUCUCCUGAACUACGUGUCAGGUAUGUUGUACAGUAAUAACAGAGGAAAAUGCAAGUGUCGUAAUAUGAUUAUGUAUUUUGGAACUGAAUUUUUUAUUUAAGAAAAUGAAUCAAUAAAACCAAGAAUUUUUCACCUCAGAA